rnacentral:SRP_RNA from 1 species
CGGCGAGCGUCAUACGACUUGCUCCCUCCAAACUCCCCCAGGCCGGAAACGGAGCAAGGGUAGGAGGUUGUAGCAGUGCGAUAUGGUCGCUCGUCUUUU